rnacentral:rRNA from 1 species
GACGAACGCUGGCGGCGUGCUUAACACAUGCAAGUCGAACGGAAAGGCCCUGCUUUUGUGGGGUGCUCGCGUGGCGAACGGGUGAGUAACACGUGAGUAACCUGCCCUUGACUUUGGGAUAACUUCAGGAAACUGGGGCUAAUACCGGAUAGGAGCUCCUGCUGCAUGGUGGGGGUUGGAAAGUUUCGGCGGUUGGGGAUGGACUCGCGGCUUAUCAGCUUGUUGGUGGGGUAGUGGCUUACCAAGGCUUUGACGGGUAGCCGGCCUGUGAGGGUGACCGGCCACAUUGGGACUGCGAGACGGCCCAGACUCCUACGGGAGGCAGCAGUGGGGAAUAUUGCACAAUGGGCGGAAGCCUGAUGCAGCAACUCCGCGUGCGUGAUGACGGCCUUCGGGUUGUAAACCGCUUUCGCCUGUGACGAAGCGUGAGUGACGGUAAUGGGUAAAGAAGCACCGGCUAACUACGUG